UACGUAGGGCGCAAGCGUUGUCCGGAAUUAUUGGGCGUAAAGAGCUCGUAGGCGGUUUGUCGCGUCUGCUGUGAAAACUCGAGGCUCAACCUCGGGCUUGCAGUGGGUACGGGCAGACUAGAGUGCGGUAGGGGUGACUGGAAUUCCUGGUGUAGCGGUGAAAUGCGCAGAUAUCAGGAGGAACACCAGCGGCGAAGGCGGCGCUCUGGGCCGGAACUGACGCUGAGGAGCGAAAGCGUGGGUAGCAAACAGG
rnacentral:rRNA from 1 species